rnacentral:rRNA from 1 species
AGUGAACGCUGGCGGCGUGGAUUAGGCAUGCAAGUCGUGCGAUCCUUUUACUGAUCAUGCAGUUCGACGCAAGAAGAAAUGCAUGAACUAUUUUAGGAUAGCGGCAAACGGGUGAGGAACACGUGAGUAAUUUUCCUUUAAACCAGACAUAGCUUCGUGAAAAUGGAGGUAAUAUCUGAUAAUGUCAUAGUGACAUAAGUCAUUAUGAUUAAAGACGGGGACCGUAAGGCCUGUCGUUUAAUGAUGAACUCGCGUCCUAUCAGCUUGUUGGUGAGGUAAUGGCUCACCAAGGCGUAUGACGGGUAGCUGGUCUGAGAGGAUGGUCAGCCACACUGGGACUGAGACACUGCCCAGACUCCUACGGGAGGCUGCAGUCGAGAAUAUUUAGCAAUGGGCGCAAGCCUGACUAUGCGACGCCGCGUGAAGGAUGAAGGUUUUCGGAUCGUAAACUUCUUUUGUCAAGAAAGAAAAUCUGUCAUUCAAUAUAUGGCAGACUGACGGUACUUGACGAAUAAGCCACGGCCAACUCCGUGCCAGCAGCCGCGGUAAUACGGAGGUGGCAAGCGUUACUCGGAUUCAUUGGGUGUAAAGGGCAAGUAGGUGGUCUAAUGGGUGAGGGGUGAAAUCUUCCGACUCAAUCGGAAAACUGCCUCUCAAACUAUUAGACUUGAGGAUGGAAGAGGAAAAUGGAAUUCUCAGUGUAAGGGUGAAAUCUGUAGAUAUUGAGAAGAACAUNGGCGGCGAANNCGAUUUUCUGGUCCAUUCCUGACACUGAAUUGCGAAAGCUAGGGGAGCAAACAGAAUUAGAUACUCUGGUAGUCCUAGCCGUAAACGAUGAGCACUNNGUGUUGGCCCCUNAAAANNUCAGUGCCGCAGCUAACGCAUUAAGUGCUCCACCUGGGGACUACGGCCGCAAGGUUAAAACUCAAAGGAAUUGACGGGGACCCGCACAAGCGGUGGAACAUGUGGUUCAAUUCGAUGCUACGCGAAGAACCUCACCAAGGCUUGACAUGUAAGAAGUAGUGAACUGAAAGGGGAACGACCUGUCAAAUCAGGAACUUACACAGGUGCUGCAUGGCUGUCGUCAGCUCGUGUCGUGAGAUGUUGGGUUAAGUCCCGCAACGAGCGCAACCAUUAUCUCUUGUUGCCACCUUUUUGUAUCUUCGGAUAUGGGAAGAGCACUCUAGAGAGACUGCCUGGGUUAACCAGGAGGAAGGCGGAGAUGACGUCAAGUCAGUACGGCCUUUAUGCCUUGGGCUACACACGUGUUACAAUGGUCGGUAUAAAGAGUUGCCAACCUGCGAAGGGGAGCUAAUCUCAAAAAAUCGGCCUCAGUUCAGAUUGGAGUCUGAAACUCGACUCCAUGAAGUUGGAAUCGCUAGUAAUGGCAGAUCAGCACGCUGCCGUGAAUACGUUCCCGGGUCUUGUACACACCGCCCGUCAAGCGAUGGAAGCCGGGGGUACCCGAAGUCCUACGUAGGUAGGCCGAAGGUAAAACUGGUGACUGGCGCU